rnacentral:rRNA from 1 species
UACGAAGGGGGCUAGCGUUGCUCGGAAUCACUGGGCGUAAAGCGCACGUAGGCGGCUUUCUAAGUCAGGGGUGAAAUCCUGGAGCUCAACUCCAGAACUGCCUUUGAUACUGGAGAGCUUGAGUCCGGAAGAGGUGAGUGGAACUCCGAGUGUAGAGGUGAAAUUCGUAGAUAUUCGCAAGAACACCAGUGGCGAAGGCGGCUUACUGGCUCAUUUCUGACGCUGAGGUGCGAAAGCGUGGGGAGCAAACAGG